rnacentral:lncRNA from 1 species
CGCCCUUCGGGGUGACCCCGGCUCCCGAGCGCCCCGGCUGGGGGGAGACGGGGCCGCCGUGAUCCGGAGCGCCAGGACCCGCUGUUCUGCAGCUCUGGGCAGAGGUUACCAGUGAGAUGGUGAAGGUGCCGGGAUGUCCCAGGCUGCACCGGCCCUCGGGUUACCUCUCCACGGCUCUGUUCUUCGCGGCGCUCUACGGCUCUGCUGCUGUCCUCAGGAGCAAAGAUUGCCAGUUCCCGGACCCCUCCGAUCACACUACCUACAGGUGCAUGUCCCCGGUGUGCAAGCUGUCUCUGGGCAGCGGCGUGUUUAAGGCUGGCUCCAUGGUGCAGCAUUUCUGCGAAGCCGGCUACGUCCUGGCCGGCCACCCUGGGGUCUCUGUCUGCAAGGGCGGCCAGUGGAGCGUGCUGAAGCCGGUCGUCUGCAAGCCCCUGGCAGGUGGUACGAGCCCAUGGAGGAGUCCGAGGAGAGCACAGUCGACAGCUGCCCGGUGCCGCUCCCAUCCUACGAGGAGGCCGUCUAUGGUUCCCAGGGGGGGCCCGUGCCGCCCGCGCCCCCCAUGCCGACACCUCUCGUCCUCUCCAGGGGCCUGGCCCCCCCAUCGGAAGCAGCUGAGCCCUGUUGGAAUCCAGAGGCCGCCACUCCGCCCCCUUCCUACCAGGAGAGCCAAGCAGCAGCUGCGGGCGGCUCCGGCCUGGCCCGGCCCACAGUGCCCCCUACCCGGUUCCUAUUCCCUGGGGCUGCAAAGGACCUGUACAGGUAGCCGGGGGGGCCGGGGGUCCCCUGGCAGGGUCUCGACACUACAGCAGGGACUCCUCAUUUGAAGCACACGCAGCCUGCUCCAUCUUUUAACUUGCUGGGGGGAGAGGACACCCUGCCCCCCCCCAGUUACUCAGCAACUUGUGAAGCUGAUGGGACCAAAGCAGCCCCCUUCGGAGGGGCAUCAGCAGCCUUCUGCCUGGAUGGGGACCCCUCCCCCCCGCAAGGUAACGGCUCUGUCUUCGGGGCAGCCCCGAGGGGCCGAUCUUUGCCAGCUGGCUGGUUAGCCGCCAGCUCAGCGUGUUCUGACCACCCUGCACUGCCAUCCCUGUGGGAUCCCAAUUUUCCCUGCCCCCUACUCCUCCCACCAGGGUGUCAGUUCCCAGCAGAGCCGUCACGGGUUAACUCAGGGUACAGCUGCCACCUUCCUCCAGCUGUGAGGAUCUGGGGGCGGUGAGGGGCAGAUUUCUCCCUCCCCCCCCGACUUCCUAAUGCUCUGGCGAACAUCCCCUGGGCUUGUUCCAUUUUUGGGGGGCUUCUCUCCCCUUGUGUGUGUUGAUUAAAAUGACCCAGGCUGCUUUAUCUCUGGGCCAUACUGAUGCCCCCCCAGGCUGCAGGUGCUGCUCUGUGGCACUGGGGCUGGCUGGCAGGGGCCGUUGCACCUGCAUCCCAGCAGGGGGUGCCGUGGGUGUGGUUUAAAUAGCUGCACCCCGCCUCCCUAGCGCUCCCGUGGGUGGGUGGCUCUUGUCUCCUUCCCACUCCCAUCACCCAGACUCCCUGGCUUGGCUACAGGGGGUGAGCUGGCACCCCUGGCAGGGGGAGCAGAGUGCAGGGGAAAGUGGGUGCAGGUUUGAAUCCCGGCUGGCCCCCGGGCCCAUCCCGCACAACAACCAUUGCGUCUGCGGGCGGGUGCUGGGCAGGGGCGAAUCUUGGGCUAUUCCUCAACAGUUGAGCCCGUGUGGCCGGAAGUGGCCAGUGGCCCAGGGGCCAGGUAGCCCCACGAAGCUCCUGUUGACGCCGGGUCAGGUGCUCGGGCUGGCCUGCCUACACACGGGCACACAUACG